AGAACAAAGAUUAUAUACUCUAUACAGAAUUGAUAUUUCAUCAUUUCGCAUGUAAAUAGACAAUUCUAACCAAUCAUUUUUAUUGAAACUGGUUUAAAAUUAUAAUUGUAGUCAUAUAUAAGAGAUUUGUAGUAAUGGACGAUCUUCUGUAUAAUGGGGUGUUGGAAGACCUAGAAGAAAUUGUUGCAGAACCACAUUGAGGUGUUUUAAGAGAUCCUCUAAUACAACUCAGUGAUGACAAAUUUAAAAAAAUAUUUCGGUUAACCAAAGAAAGUUUCAGAUAUGUUUUGACAUGACAGAAAAUAUUUGGACGAACCUCUUCAAAUUAUAGUAAUCACUACAAGCGCCGGAAUCAAGUCAACCAAGUUGCACCGUUUUUGUGUGGCCCCCACUUUACCGGUCUGUAAUUUAUUGAAUUUUUGUUUUUUUUUAUAUUCUUGAAAAGUCAAUGAAUAUCAUAUAAAAAAUGGAUGAAAAUGUUUUUCGUUUUUUUACGUUAGUUUCAAAAAUGCCUAAAAUUUAGUGUUCUAGACCAGUAUCUAAAAAUUAAUCAACCAUAUGGUGACAGGCACCAUUUCAAACAAUUGUCAUGUCAGUGUUAAGAGAGAGUAAAAAAAGCCCAUUUCAACGACCUAGAGUUUGACGUUAUUUCUAGUUUCAAAAAUAUUCCGACUUCCACUACAACUUUCUUUCAACAACAAAAAAACGAAAAAGUUAUCUGUCUAUAAUAAUUUUUCUCAAAAUAAAAGGAUUUAAAGUUCAAGAAUAUUAUUACUCUCUUGACGACCAUUUUAGUGACUUCAAAAGAAUUGACAGCAUUAAUUUUGUCACCUCGAGUGUUUAUAACAAUUACUUUUCAAUGUAUUCAAUUUUCAAAACUUACCAAUCUCUUUGUCGGCGUUUUUUCUCUCAUUCAAACAGAAUGUCUUCAAAUCAUUCAUACUUUUCUGAUUUUUUUCUAAUUUACUUUCAUAAUGGUGUAUUAAUUGUCCUAAUUUGUUAUGUUCUGAUGAUAGUUGCGUUAUCCGAUGCUGUAAAUGAACGCAACGCUCGGAAGCCGCCUGUAAACUGUUUGAAGCUGACAGUUCCGAAUUAGCCAAUGAUGCUAAUUUAUAUUCAUACAACUCCAUCACUUGACAUACAGAUAUAUUGGAAAUCUGUUGGUCGUUAAUCAAUUUCUAAAAUAAAAUAAGAGGUAUUAGCUUCUGACUAAUUAUUUCUGAUGUGACAAUAGCAAAUAUAUAAAUUUCUUUUUAUCAAAAUAAGAAUAUACACACAGCAAAAAACUCAGAUUUGGUCUUAUAAUUUUGUUAAAUAUAUUAAUCUUUACCAGUUAGUUAUUUACACAAUAUCUACCCGCAACGAUUAAUUAUUUAUUGUUAUUAACAAAAAAAAAAAUACAAAAUAAAAAAAAACAAGAAAAUAAAACAUUUUUUUAAAACCU